UUAACUCAUAUUUGUAUGGAGUUGGACCGUUUGCCUACGUGUGUCGCUAGGGGCGCUGUUCCAACUGCAUACAUAUUUGAGUUA
rfam:Bombyx mori DNA, contig: Bm_scaf78_contig32325, strain: p50T/Dazao, build 2, whole genome shotgun sequence.